UACAGAGGGUGCGAGCGUUGUCCGGAAUCACUGGGCGUAAAGGGCGCGUAGGUGGCCUGGUAAGUCGGGGGUGAAAUCUCGAGGCUCAACUUCGAGGCUGCCUCCUAAACUGCCAGGCUUGAGCAGAGUAGAGGCAGGUGGAAUUCCCGGUGUAGCGGUGGAAUGCGUAGAGAUCGGGAAGAACAUCGGUGGCGAAGGCGGCCUGCUGGGCUCUUGCUGACACUGAGGCGCGACAGCGUGGGGAGCAAACAGG
rnacentral:rRNA from 1 species